AACAAGGCCAGCCGGAGGGUCGAAUUGGAGUUUGGACCGUUGGCGGCGGCUUUCUCCCGGAAUGGCGGAACCUACGCCAGAACGGUGGCCUGGAGGCUCGAUGGAGUCGGCCGCAGCACCGACACCAGCGAGAGCGUUGAUGGCCUGAUGGGAAGCGGCUGAUCAACCGGGCUCGGCGGCGCUAGGCAGGAUGGGAGGGAGAGAUUGCUACUGCGUGCCGGCGGAGGGAGGCGUGGCGUGGGGUUUAGGAGAGAAAGGGGCAGAUGGUCUCGAGCCGCUUAUUUACGUUACGUCUGGCAAACCACAAAUUGUGGUGGUAAAAUUAUUGUCAAAAAAAAUUGUGGUGGUAAAAUAAUUUUUUACUCUAAUAUGUAAUCUGGGAGGCGGCCCGCGGCCUGUUUGAUCAUUGUCCUCGUGGGUACAUAGCAAAAACGGCCCGGCCCACGGAGCUCAACCUGCUGCCCUCCAACAAUCGUUACCCAAAAUACAAGACCCAUUUG
rnacentral:lncRNA from 1 species